rnacentral:rRNA from 1 species
AGGGUUUGAUCAUGGCUCAGAACGUACGCUGGCGGCACGCCUUAUACAUGCAAGUCGAACGAAGUAGCAAUACUUAGUGGCAGACGGGUGAGUAACAUGUGGGUAUCUUCCCUUUGGCCUGGAAUAACACGAGGAAACUUGUGCUAAUACCGGAUAAGUCUUUACGGAGAAAGCUUUAUGCACCAUUGGAUGAGCCCGCACUUGAUUAGUUUGUUGGUGGGGUAAUGGCCUACCAAGACAAUGAUCAAUAGCUGAUUUGAGAGGAUGAUCAGCCACAUUGGAACUGAGACACGGUCCAAACUCCUACGGGAGGCAGCAGUAGGGAAUCUUGCACAAUGGAGGAAACUCUGAUGCAGCGAUGCCGCGUGAGUGAAGAAGGCCUUUGGGUUGUAAAGCUCUUUCGUCGGGGAAGAAAAUGACUGUACCCGAAUAAGAAGGUCCGGCUAACUUCGUGCCAGCAGCCGCGGUAAUACGAAGGGACCUAGCGUAGUUCGGAAUUACUGGGCUUAAAGAGUUCGUAGGUGGUUAAAAAAGUUGGUGGUGAAAUCCCAGAGCUUAACUCUGGAACUGCCAUCAAAACUUUUUAGCUAGAGUAUGAUAGAGGAAAGCAGAAUUUCUAGUGUAGAGGUGAAAUUCGUAGAUAUUAGAAAGAAUACCGAUUGCGAAGGCAGCUUUCUGGAUCAUUACUGACACUGAGGAACGAAAGCAUGGGUAGCGAAGAGGA